AGGUGUCUGUUCCUCUUCAUGGCUGUGAACACUUCUACCUCCUCACCAAACCUCUUCAGGAGCCACUUCCACCCCACACCCCAGUGGUGAUCGAUAUGGAUGGCAGGAUAUAUGCACGGCCAUGGCAGGGGGGUCUUCUGUCAGGGGGCUUUGAGAAGAACCCCAAACCCAUCUUCACUGAGGGCCGCAACCAGCUGGAGAUCCAGAGCAUGCAGGAGGACUGGGACCACUUUGAGCCAAUGCUCAGUUCCCUGCUGAGGAGAAUGCCUAUUCUUGAGUCAGCUGAGAUCCAUCAGCUGGUCAACUGUCCAGAAUCCUUCACCCCUGACAUGCGCUGUCUGAUGGGGGAGACGCCGGGUGUCUCUGGCUGCUAUGUGCUGGCGGGGAUGAACUCCUCUGGCCUGGCUUUUGCUGGAGGAGCUGGGAAGUACCUGGCAGAGUGGAUCACCUAUGGCUAUCCCACUGCCAAUGUCUGGCCACUGGACAUCAAACGCUUUGGCAACCUGCAGAGCAGCAGAACUUUCCUGAGACAUAGAGUAAUGGAAGUCAUGCCUCUUUUGUAUGAACUGAAGGUCCCUCGCUGGGACUUUCAGACUGGGCGUCAGCUGAGGACCAGCCCUCUCUAUGAUCGUCUGGAUACCCAGGGAGCUCGCUGGAUGGAGAAACAUGGCUUUGAGAGGCCCAAAUACUUUGUUCCUCCAGGGAAAGAUCUGCUCUCUCUGGACCAGAGUAAGACCUUCUACAAACCAGACUGGUUUGACAUUGUUGGAGCAGAAGUGAAAUGCUGCAAAGAGGCUGUCUGCGUCAUCGACAUGUCCUCCUUCACCAAGUUUGAGCUGACUUCAACAGGUGACCAGGCCCUGGAGCUGUUACAACAUCUGUGUUCCAAUGACCUGGAUGUUCCUGUUGGGCAUAUCAUCCACACCGGCAUGCUGAAUGAGAGGGGAGGCUAUGAGAACGACUGCAGUGUGGUCCGCCUCAACAAGAACAGCUUUUUCAUCAUUUCUCCGACAGACCAACAGGUCCAUUGUUGGUCCUGGAUCAAGAAACACAUGCCCAAUGAUCCACACCUCCACCUAGAGGAUGUCAGCUGGAAGUACACAGCUUUAAACCUUAUUGGCCCUCGUGCAAUGGAUGUUCUGGCUGAGCUGUCGUAUGUUUCCAUGACACCUGAGCACUUCCCCUCCAUGUUUUGUAAGGAGAUGAGUGUGGGCUAUGCCAACGGGAUCAGAGUGAUGAGUAUGACUCACACUGGGGAACCAGGUUUCAUGCUCUACAUACCUAUAGAGUAUGCACUGCAUGUGUACAAUGAGGUGGUGUCAGUGGGUCAGAAGUACGGGAUACGUAAUGCAGGGUACUACGCACUGCGCAGCCUACGCAUAGAGAAAUUCUUCGCUUUCUGGGGUCAAGACCUUGACACCUUCACCACCCCACUGGAGUGUGGAAGAGAGUUCAGGGUGAAGUUUGAUAAGGACACAGACUUCAUUGGACGUGAGGCGUUGCUGCAGCAGCGCCAGGACGGUGUGUUUCGGCGGUUCAUCAUGCUGGUUCUAGAGGACCAUGACACUGAACUGGACCUGUGGCCGUGGUGGGGGGAGCCCAUCUACCGUAACGGCCAGCUGGCUGGGACAACCACCAGCAGUGCCUACAGCUACACCCUGGAGCGCCAUGUCUGCCUGGGUUUUGUAUCUCCACCACCAGGCCCAGAGGGGCAGCCCACACCCAUCACCCCAGACUUCAUCAACCGUGGGGACUAUGAGGUGGAUAUUGCUGGCCAGCGCUACCCAGCCAAAGCCAAACUCUACCCCUUUAGCUCCCUCUUCACCCAACAGAAACGCCGGAAGGAAGAUAUGGAGCUCACCAACCUCCAGGGCAAGUGAUGUCGAGUGAUGGAAAACCUUCCAUUUGCCUCGAUCAGAAGUUGGGGAGAGCCACCACGCAGCAUAUCUGGAGCUGGUAGGGAUUUAGUAAUUUUAGGGAUUUUCAUACAUGUGUGUGGAGGUAUUACUUGCACUGUGGGGACAGUCUGUUUACACAGUCACAUUGUGGGGACUCGACUUCCUUUUGGUGUCAAGAAGAACAUCCUAGAAAUGUAAAGGUUAGGGUUAGGCAAGUAACAUUACGGCUGAGGUUAGGGUAAGUUUCCAGGAAGUGAAUGUAUGUCGAUACAAUGUCCGCCAAAGUGACUGAAACACGACUGUGUUUGUGUAUUUCUUGUUGUCUUGACCUUGCACCAGACUGUCAGAUGGUAAUCUGAAAGUUACCCUGAGUGGCUAAAUGAAAGCUGUAAACUCACUUCAUCACAUACACUAUACAGCACCUUUACGAGACGAUAAUGACUGAAGGCUGCAGAUAGAGUAAAUAUCUUUAUGUGAUGGUGUUACCUCCAUACUAACAUUAAUAUGAUUGUUACAUUACCUGUUGUCCAGUGCAGUUCCUUCUGAGUAAGGGUGUAUUAUCUAGUAGGGUUUCCUAUCUUGUCGUAUUGUAAUUGUGUUAUUCAGUACUGAUGGCAUUCUCGGAUGCGGUACGUUAUUUGUAAUUUCUAAUGUGAGCAAAAGCCCCAGCUCCACAAAUCCUGCUAUCACUGUCACACUGAUUGGCAGACCAAUGAACACACAUUUCAGCAGCCUUUAGCAACCAAACUUAUUGUAGUUUUCAAAGAUUUUUAUUGCCGAUUUUUUCCACUUCAUCUAUCUCUAGCUAUUUGCCUACACUUGUAAUUAAUAAAUUUUUUGGGAACGUAACAGACCUUUAAAUAUUUUCUCAAUUUAAAUACAUUAUUUCAUCUUUUUAAAAAGCCUGUUGAUCUAGAGUAGCAACUAACUUUUUUUUUUUUUAUCAGGGCAUCUGAAACACUUCUGUCUCUGAGAGGGGAGAAAAUUCCAGUGACUUAGUUUGGAUAUUGCAGAAAGCAGCUGCUGUGUUCAAAAACAAAAAUACAGACAGCAUCAAACCAUACUUAAAAAAUGUUGUGGUUGUUUUGCUAACAUUGCAGACAUUUGCUCUGCAAAGAGUAAAAGCCUUUGCAAGUAAGGAUGAAUUGAUGCAGUAACAUUAGCAUGAAGUUAAUUUAUGGCACAAAAUCUCUUGCAGUGGGCGGCUGGCAGGAGUCAGUCUUAACAGCAGGGCAAUAAAAGUACAAACCUUAGUUUUACGACAUGGGAGGCUACUGUGUGGUUCAGAAUGGGGGCAGGAGAAACUCUGUAUACAGUGGCUGUCACUGCUCAACCUGAGGAACCAAAUGCAACGGGGAGCAAGUUGUUACUCAUAAAGGGCUCAUUUUUCUUCAUAUAUGUGCUUAAGCUUGCAAAAGAUGUUAAUAAGUGAAGCAUGUGCAUGUGAGAGUGUAGUUUUUGCAUUGGCGUACAGUUUCAGUGCCGUUACUAUGGUGCUUUGACUCUGUCCUCUGCACUAUAGUACCAACACUUAACCAGUGGCCCUGUGCUUUGUUCUGAUGCCAUUUAUUUUCUCAUGUCUCAUUCAUAAAAGAACCAAACACUUUAUAGACUUCUAAUGUUGCAGUUCAUCACAUUUAAAAAUUAUGGUCCAUUUUCUGAUAUGGCUCCAUAAAUAUCAGUGUGAUUAAUGGUGCCCCAGCUCCCUGUCUUUUAUCACUGUGGAAGGCUUCGUAUCCAAGACUCCAGUAAUUUUCCAGUACACACAAACUUUGCUGCAAAAACCACUGAUGUGCUAUAUGCAUUACAUGGCCUGUUCUGCCUGGUGAUUUUUUUUUCUCUCCAAACAAUCUACAUGUACCCUUGUACAGCAAAAGGCCCCAGAUGUUUGCACUAAACAAGGGCAGCACACCCAGUUUUUUUCUAUGGGGCUUUGAUACAAACCAUGUUUUGAACGUGAUAGGUUACUUGCAAUUCAAAGAUUGUAAAGUUUUCCAAUAAUGAAUGGCUAUAGUCAUAUUUUAAAGCAUUCAGUGACUUCAUAAAGUAUUUCUGUCCCUGUGUAGUGAUAAGGAGUAAUCCUCACUCAGGAACCCAUAAUGAAAAGGUGAACAUUUUUUGAAAUUUAUUUGGCAAAAUUACAAAAAGUCAGUAACAGUAUGUCCAAUAAAUAAAUAAAGUCACUAAAUCAAAAAAACUAAAUAAUUUACAAAAGUAUUCAAAUCCUUAAUUUGUAUAAGCUGCAUUGGCAGGCCUCUACAAGCUUUGCAUACAUGGACAGCCCUUCUGGGAACAUGUAAAACUCCAGAAACAAUUUUAUACCCUUGUCUUGAUCUAUGCCAUGCCACAGUUUUAUCACGAGGUCUACAGAGAGUUUCUUGGUUUUGGUCCUAACAUGGAGUGUGAAUCGUGGUGCCUUAUUUACACACGUGUGGGACUUUCUGACACCUGAUGUAAAAAUUACAAUUUUAUCAAUAUAAAAUGAAAUAUACAGCAUCAAGUGUGCAGAAUGUGAUAGGGUCUGAAAACUUUCUGAAGCCACUGUAUGUUAUCCAGGAAUGGUUUAAAAGAUAGUUAAGGAUUGAGUUCCAGUAAAUAGUCUACAUAAAGGAAUGUGUGUUCUGUU